rnacentral:rRNA from 1 species
ACGAACGCUGGCGGCGUGCUUAACACAUGCAAGUCGAACGGUAAGGCCCUUUCGGGGGUACACGAGUGGCGAACGGGUGAGUAACACGUGGGUGAUCUGCCCUGCACUUUGGGAUAAGCCUGGGAAACUGGGUCUAAUACCGGAUAGGGCUACGCGAUGCAUGUCGUGUGGUGGAAAGCUUUUGCGGUGUGGGAUGGGCCCGCGGCCUAUCAGCUUGUUGGUGGGGUGAUGGCCUACCAAGGCGACGACGGGUAGCCGGCCUGAGAGGGUGUCCGGCCACACUGGGACUGAGAUACGGCCCAGACUCCUACGGGAGGCAGCAGUGGGGAAUAUUGCACAAUGGGCGCAAGCCUGAUGCAGCGACGCCGCGUGGGGGAUGACGGCCUUCGGGUUGUAAACCCCUUUCAGCACAGACGAAGCGUAAGUGACGGUAUGUGCAGAAGAAGCACCGGCCAACUACGUG